rnacentral:tRNA from 1 species
UCCAUUGUGGUGAAAAGGUAGACACGUUGGACUUAAAAUCUAAUGGAAAUGGCCGUAUGAGUUCAAGUCUCAUCAGUGGAA